rnacentral:rRNA from 1 species
AAGCCGUUGAAGGUGAAUCGUAAGGUUUGCUGGAGGUAUCAGAAGUGCGAAUGCUGACAUGAGUAACGACAAAGGGGGUGAAAAACCUCCUCGCCGGAAGACCAAGGGUUCCUGUCCAACGUUAAUCGGGGCAGGGUGAGUCGACCCCUAAGGUGAGGCCGAAAGGCGUAAUCGAUGGGAAACGGGUUAAUAUUCCCGUACUUCUGACUAUUGCGAUGGGGGGACGGAGAAGGCUAGGUGGGCCAGGCGACGGUUGUCCUGGUUCAAGUGCGUAGGCUUGAGAGUUAGGUAAAUCCGGCUCUCUCUAAGGCUGAGACACGACGUCGAGCUACUACGGUAGUGAAGUCAUUGAUGCCAUGCUUCCAGGAAAAGCCUCUAAGCUUCAGAUAGUCAGGAAUCGUACCCCAAACCGACACAGGUGGUCGGGUAGAGAAUACCAAGGCGCUUGAGAGAACUCGGGUGAAGGAACUAGGCAAAAUGGUACCGUAACUUCGGGAGAAGGUACGCUCUUGAUGGUGAAGUCCCUCGCGGAUGGAGCUGACGAGAGUCGCAGAUACCAGGUGGCUGCAACUGUUUAUUAAAAACACAGCACUGUGCAAAAUCGCAAGAUGACGUAUACGGUGUGACGCCUGCCCGGUGCCGGAAGGUUAAUUGAUGGGGUUAGCGCAAGCGAAGCUCUUGAUCGAAGCCCCGGUAAACGGCGGCCGUAACUAUAACGGUCCUAAGGUAGCGAAAUUCCUUGUCGGGUAAGUUCCGACCUGCACGAAUGGCGUAAUGAUGGCCACGCUGUCUCCACCCGAGACUCAGUGAAAUUGAAAUCGCUGUGAAGAUGCAGUGUACCCGCGGCUAGACGGAAAGACCCCGUGAACCUUUACUACAGCUUGGCACUGAACAUUGAACCUACAUGUGUAGGAUAGGUGGGAGGCUAUGAAGACGUGACGCCAGUUGCGUUGGAGCCGUCCUUGAAAUACCACCCUUGUAUGUUUGAUGUUCUAACUUAGACCCAUUAUCUGGGUUGAGGACAGUGCCUGGUGGGUAGUUUGACUGGGGCGGUCUCCUCCCAAAGAGUAACGGAGGAGCACGAAGGUGGGCUAAUCACGGUUGGACAUCGUGAGGUUAGUGCAAUGGCAUAAGCCCGCUUAACUGCGAGAAUGACGGUUCGAGCAGGUGCGAAAGCAGGUCAUAGUGAUCCGGUGGUUCUGUAUGGAAGGGCCAUCGCUCAACGGAUAAAAGGUACUCCGGGGAUAACAGGCUGAUACCGCCCAAGAGUUCAUAUCGACGGCGGUGUUUGGCACCUCGAUGUCGGCUCAUCACAUCCUGGGGCUGAAGUCGGUCCCAAGGGUAUGGCUGUUCGCCAUUUAAAGUGGUACGCGAGCUGGGUUUAGAACGUCGUGAGACAGUUCGGUCCCUAUCUGCCGUGGGCGUUGGAAGAUUGAAGGGGGCUGCUCCUAGUACGAGAGGACCGGAGUGGACGAACCUCUGGUGUUCGGGUUGUGUCGCCAGACGCAUUGCCCGGUAGCUAAGUUCGGAAUUGAUAAGCGCUGAAAGCAUCUAAGCGCGAAGCGAGCCCUGAGAUGAGUCUUCCCUGACAGUUUAACUGUCCUAAAGGGUUGUUCGAGACUAGAACGUUGAUAGGCAGGGUGUGUAAGCGUUGUGAGGCGUUGAGCUAACCUGUACUAAUUGCCCGUGAGGCUUAACCAU